GCGCUGGUGGUCUAAUGGCUAUGACUGCGGCCUUCCAAGCCGUAUAUCCGGGUUCGAAUCCCGGCCGGCGCA
rfam:Candidatus Woesearchaeota archaeon CG1_02_57_44 cg1_0.2_scaffold_483_c, whole genome shotgun sequence.